rnacentral:RNase_P_RNA from 1 species
CAGGUGCAACAGGUAGUUGCUGGUGGUGCAAACCACGAGAGGAAAGUCCGGGCUGCAAGUGAGACAGGGCUCCAUCUAACGGAUGGCCAGAGUAAUCUGAGGGCAAGUGCAACAGAAAGUAGGUAGCCACUUCGGUGGUGAUAGUGAAAGGGUGGGGUAAGAGCCCACCGGUGCUUAUGGUAACAUAGGCAGCCAGGUAAACCCUGUCCGCAGCAAGAAGUAUAUGGUACAAGUCUCACAAGCUGUUCAAUCAGCACACAUACUUCGCUUGAGCAUAUUGGCAACAAUAUGCCUAGAUAAAUAACUACCCACGACAAAACCCGGCUUAUCGUUGCACCUAAAUA